AGUCUCUCUGUAGCUCUGGAGAGAGAAGAACCUGACUGCCUGGGAGAGAAGAGUACCUGAGGUGCAGUUGUCCAUGACUGGCCUCCACCCGAAGUUUGAAGAAAAAUAACUUGAGAUAUUUUUGACAAGAAACUCAGGUUUGGUGAACUCUGGAUAUUAUGCUGAGGAGGAUUAUACAUUUGGAGAACCAUGCAAAAGUUCUUUUACUGAAGUGUUCUGUACUGUGAUGUACAUUAACAAUAGUAAAAUGUAUCAUUGUCAAAGACAGAAAAAGACCUACAUAUUCUAAUUAUUUUCUCUGUUAAAAUAACUGCAAAGUAAUUUUCAGAGAAGUGUUUCAGUUGUAAUUGCUGAGGGAGAAAUGGCCUAGCACAAACCUUCCAUACAAUUUUUUCUUUUCUGUUUCCAAAUUUAUCUGUUUACCAAUUUAUGAAUAAUAUAGUUAGUUAAUAUGAUAUUUUCUAGUGCAGAAAAAUUGUAAAAGUAUAAUUGCUAGGGACUGAUUUAACAUUAAGGUUAAAUUAGAUAUUCAGUAUUUUCAUAUAAAACCUUAGUUUGCAUGAAAGUGAGUAUCAUUUAAGCAUUGCAUACUGACACAAUUUAAUAAAU